GCAGGAAGCGCCUUAGUCUGUGUGUGCCUGUAUCGGAGAGUGUAACCCGCCUCAGAAUUUGCCCAGAAGCUUUUCCUUCCUGCGUGGCCCUGCCCUGCAUUUGGCUGCAGUCUGCCCCGGGCUGCCUCCGGCCGAGCUGUAUGGCUCACCUGCCCUGGGUUCGGGUUUUCCGUCUCCUUUUGCUACUGACCUUCACGCCGUCUUCCCCGGGAUUCCCUCUGUCUGCAGUGAUAUCGUAGCUGCUGCCCUCUCCCACAGCCUGCUCGCUGCCCCUGACCUCCGGUUCUGGCCCGACUCCGAAUCUCCUCUGACUAGUUUAAAGAAUUAUUUACAUACACUAAUACUGCAUUGGAUUUAAGUCGAGUACUGUCUUUUUUAAUUUGUUUAUUUUUUCCUAGUUAAUCAUUCAUACUGUCUCAUGUCAUCUCGGAAUUCUCUGGAACUGGAGUUAAUCCUGUGCUUACGACUGGUGGUUCUUCCAUUAAGCUGAAUUUGCAAUGUACCAUCUGUUAAAGGCUUGCAGGUACACUUACCUUUAUUUAUGUGCAUAGUUCCAUUUAAGUCAAUAGGACUACUUCCAGUACAUCAAAUUAAAAUGUUGCCCCACAGAUGGCUGCAUUUGCACAAAAAGCAUAGCAGAAGAUUGAUGUGGCAGCAGAAAAAAAGUGGCAUAGAGAAGGAAGAGAACUGUCUAGAUCAAUUUUGUUGCUGGAGAAAAUGUAGUAUGGAAAUGCAUUCUGACUUGCAACUAAAGAAGAAAGGAUAAAAGCCUUUAAUGAAUUGAAA